AAACAUUUCCAACCACACAGAAGCAAGAUGAUCUCAAAGACUCCCCUUAUCUGGCUGCUGCUUUUCUGGAUUCACGGUUCCAUUGGACAGACUGUGAUGACUCAGACUCCAGAAUCUCUCUCAGUGUCUGUGGGAGAGACCGUCACUAUCAAAUGCAAAGCCAGCACAAGCAUUAGCAGCUACAUCGCUUGGUAUCAACAGAAACCUGGACAGGCUCCCAAGCUUCUUAUCUAUUAUGCCAGCAGCCGUUCCACAGGCAUCCCAGACCGGUUCAGUGGCAGCGGUCAGGCACUGACUAUACAUUCACCAUCCACAAGAGUUGAAGCUGAUGAUGCUGGAGAUUAUUACUGCCAGCAGC